GAAGCUGCUUCUGCUUCGCAUGCAUCAUAUGCUCCCGGCUUUUGAAAUACGCUUUCGUUUCCGCAAAUGCCGAAAUGUGAUCGUAAAAACGAUCCAGUAUCGUGGGCAUCUCGGACAUCAGGAAAUCCCUAUGCUCCCUGAGAAUCGCGCUUGUGUUGCUGUCGAUGCCGUGAAAUUUGAGUCGAUGUACGAUGGUGGAGUCGUUGCUCAUUGCGUCCCUUGCUGGAAGCGAUCGGUGUGACGUUGGGGAUUUACGAGUCUGGUGGC
rnacentral:misc_RNA from 1 species